GCCGCGGUAAUACAGAGGGUGCAAGCGUUAAUCGGAAUUACUGGGCGUAAAGCGCGCGUAGGUGGUUAGUUAAGUUGGAUGUGAAAUCCCCGGGCUCAACCUGGGAACUGCAUUCAAAACUGACUAACUAGAGUAUGGUAGAGGGUGGUGGAAUUUCCUGUGUAGCGGUGAAAUGCGUAGAUAUAGGAAGGAACACCAGUGGCGAAGGCGACCACCUGGACUGAUACUGACACUGAGGUGCG
rnacentral:rRNA from 1 species